CUGGACCUGAAUCAAGGCUGGCAGCUUCCUGAUGCUGUUGGCUUCAAGCAGGGGCCUAAAGAGAUAUUGUUCUAUAAUCUGUUGGCCAUUUCAGAACUUGGGCAGUGAAAUGGUCAAUUCAUUAGAAAGAAACAGCU
ensembl:snoRNA